AUUCCAGUUGAUCCUGCUGGCGGCUGCGGCUCUCUGACUUGCACUUAGACAUGCAAGUUUUUUUAGUUUCUUCACAGAAAUUGAAAAGCAAACUGCUCAGUAACACGUAGCUAACCUACCCUAAGGUUAAGUAUACCCUCGGGAAACUGAGGCUAACACUUAAUAUGGGAUAUACCCUGGAAAGAUUUAUCCCUGAAACUUGAGCCUUAGGAUGGGGCUGCGGCGGAUUAGGUUGUUGGCGGGGUAAUAGCCCACCAAGCCUAUGAUCCGUAAGGGCUCUUAGCGGAGAGGCCCUGAGAGGGAAUCUGAGACACUAUUCCCAGCCCUACGGGGUGCAGCAGUUAGGAAUAAUCUACAAUGCGCGCAAGCGUGAUAGUUUGAGCCAGAGUGCGUUCCAAUUGGAAUGCUUUUGCCAAAUGUAAAAAG
rnacentral:rRNA from 1 species